rnacentral:rRNA from 1 species
AGUGAACGCUGGCGGUAGGCCUAACACAUGCAAGUCGAACGGCAGCACAGGAGAGCUUGCUCUCUGGGUGGCGAGUGGCGGACGGGUGAGGAAUACAUCGGAAUCUACUCUGUCGUGGGGGAUAUCGUAGGGAAACUUACGCUAAUACCGCAUACGACCUACGGGUGAAAGCAGGGGAUCUUCGGACCUUGCGCGAUUGAAUGAGCCGAUGUCGGAUUAGCUAGUUGGCGGGGUAAAGGCCCACCAAGGCGACGAUCCGUAGCUGGUCUGAGAGGAAGAUCAGCAACAGUGGAACGGAGACAAGGUCCAGACUCCUAAGGGAGGCAGCAGUGGGGAAUAUUGGACAAUGGGCGCAAGCCUGAUACAGCCAUACCGCGUGGGUGAAGAAGGCCUUCGGGUUGUAAAGCCCUUUUGUUGGGAAAGAAACCCAGCUGGCUAAUACCCGGUUGGGAUGACGGUACCCAAAGAAUAAGCACCGGCUAACUUCGUGCCAGCAGCCGCGGUAA